ACGAGAUCCUUCGGGGUCUAGUGGCGCACGGGUGCGUAACGCGUGGGAAUCUGCCCUUGGGUUCGGAAUAACAGUUAGAAAUGACUGCUAAUACCGGAUGAUGUCGCCUAAGAGAUUUGGGGACCAAAGAUUUAUCGCCCAAGGAUGAGCCCGCGUAGGAUUAGGUAGUUGGUGGGGUAAAGGCCUACCAAGCCGACGAUCCUUAGCUGGUCUGAGAGGAUGAUCAGCCACACUGGGACUGAGACACGGCCCAGACUCCUACGGGAGGCAGCAGUGGGGAAUAUUGGACAAUGGGGGCAACCCUGAUCCAGCAAUGCCGCGUGAGUGAUGAAGGCCUUAGGGUCGUAAAGCUCUUUUACCAGGGAUGAUAAUGACAGUACCUGGAGAAUAAGCUCCGGCCAACUCCGUGCCAGCAGCCGCGGUAAUACGGAGGGAGCUAGCGUUGUUCGGAAUUACUGGGCGUAAAGCGUGCGUAGGCGGUUAUUCAAGUCAGAGGUGAAAGCCCGGGGCUCAACCCCGGAACGGCCUUUGAAACUAGAUAACUAGAAUCUUGGAGAGGUCAGUGGAAUUCCGAGUGUAGAGGUGAAAUUCGUAGAUAUUCGGAAGAACACCAGUGGCGAAGGCGACUGACUGGACAAGUAUUGACGCUGAGGUACG
rnacentral:rRNA from 1 species